AGCUCUCUGAAUGCCCAUUGGGACACAAGGUUCUACUUACAACUGAGACUGAAUUUGCAUUAAAGGCGUACUUGGAAGAGGAGCAAAAGGUGGCUGCAGUGUUGUUGAGAGAUGUUGGAAUAGAUAAAUCACUGCCCUUUCUGCAAUAAGUACCUGUUC